GUACACGCUGUGACUAGCAUAUCAAUAAGCGGAGGAAAAGAAACUAACAAGGAUUCCCCUAGUAACGGCGAGUGAAGCGGGAAGAGCUCAAAUUUGAAAUCUUAAAGGGUUUCCCUUUACGAAUUGUAGUUUAAAGAAGUGUUUUCUGUUGAGGUUUUGGUAAAAGUUCUUUGGAAUAGGACAUCAUAGAGGGUGAGAAUCCCGUAUUUGACCUUUACUUUCAACUUUGUGAUACACUUUCAAAGAGUCGGAUUGUUUGGGAAUGCAGUCCAAAAUGGGUGGUAAAUUUCAUCUAAAGCUAAAUAUUGGCGAGAGACCGAUAGCGAACAAGUACCGUGAGGGAAAGAUGAAAAGAACUUUUGAAAAGAGAGUUAAACAGUACGUGAAAUUGUCAAAAGGGAAGCGUUUGACACCAGUGUUGUUUUUCUGAAAAUCAAUUAAAGAACUGUUUAUGCUAAGCUGUUUAGACUUUAUCAGCUAUCUGUUUAGUUUUGAGCUUUUCUUUAAUGCACUUUUCAGUUAACAAGUCAACAUCAAUUUCUUUUGCUGUAAAAAAGCUUGAGGAAGGUGGCUUGAGAUUCGUCUUAAGUGUUUAUAGCCUCUUGCCUAUGCAGUCGGAGAGAUUGAGGUCUGCAGCGUAGAUCCUUCGGGGCUAAAUGCAUUUGUGCUAAGUUAUAGCAUUUUAUAGACAACUUGUUGACUAUGAUUUGUCUUGUAGCUUACUCGCUUAUGUUAUUGUACCUACGCUUAGGAUGUUGACGCGCGUGUGUGCGUG
rnacentral:rRNA from 1 species